UACAGAGGGUGCAAGCGUUAAUCGGAAUUACUGGGCGUAAAGCGUGCGUAGUCGGUUAUCUAAGUCGGGUGUGAAAGCCCCGGGCUCAACCUGGGAAUUGCAUUCGAGACUGUGUGAGCUAGGGUGCGGAAGAGGGAAGCGGAAUUUCCGGUGUAGCGGUGAAAUGCGUAGAUACUGGGAGGAACACCAGUGGCGAAGGCGGCUACCUGGACCGGUUCUGACGCUGAUGCGCGAAAGCGUGGGGAGCAAACAGG
rnacentral:rRNA from 1 species